UACAGAGGUCUCAAGCGUUGUUCGGAUUCAUUGGGCGUAAAGGGUGUGUAGGUGGCGCCGUAAGUCGGGUGUGAAAUUUCGGAGCUUAACUCCGAAACUGCAUUCGAUACUGCGGUGCUUGAGGACUGGAGAGGAGACUGGAAUUCAUGGUGUAGCAGUGAAAUGCGUAGAGAUCAUGAGGAAGACCAGUGGCGAAGGCGGGUCUCUGGACAGUUCCUGACACUGAGACACGAAGGCCAAGGGAGCAAACGGG
rnacentral:rRNA from 1 species